AGAUCAGCUCAGGCAAUCGCUGUGUACGUAGGUACAUAGAGGAAAGUCCGGACUCCGACGGAUGGGAUGCCGGGUAACCCCCGGGGGGCAGAUGGCGCAAGCCGCUGUCCACAGACAAGUUCCACAGAAAAGAUACCGCUUUGCUUAAUGCAGAGUAAGGGUGAAAAGGCAGGUUAAGAGCCUACCGCGGCCGGGGUAACCUGGCCGGUCCCUUAAAAGGGAGCGGAAUAUCCCUUUACAGGGGUAUUGCCGUCAUGGAAAACCUCAUCCGGAGCAAGGUCAAGCAGGAAGAAUGGCGCUUUCGGGCGCCGGGAACCGUCCGUUUCCUUACUUCCGGGUAGACCGCACGAGGGUGUCAGUAAUGGCACUCCCAGAUAAAUGAUUGCCGCCUUCGGGUACAAAAUCCGGCUUAUCGGGCUGGUCUCCUA
rnacentral:RNase_P_RNA from 1 species